AGACCGGUUUACUGGUCGUGCUUUUGUACGUACUGGUAUUAUUGGUUUCUCCUUUCUGACGAACUAUAAUGCCAUUAAUUUGGUGUUUUAGGGAAUCAGGACUGUUACUUUGAAAAAAUUAGAGUGUUUAAAGCAGGCUCACGCUUGAAUACAUUAGCAUGGAAUAACGGAAUAGGACGUUUGAUUCUAUUUUGUUGGUUUCUAGGAUCGACGUA
rnacentral:rRNA from 1 species